GCAUAUCAAUAAGCGGAGGAAAAGAAACCAACAGGGAUUGCCUCAGUAACGGCGAGUGAAGCGGCAAUAGCUCAAAUUUGAAAUCUGGCCCUUUCAGGGUCCGAGUUGUAAUUUGCAGAGGGCGCUUUGGCGUCGGCAGUAGCCUAAGUUCCUUGGAACAGGUCAUCAUAGAGGGUGAGAAUCCCGUAUGUGGCUGCCUGCCUUCGCCGUGUAAAGCCCCUUCGAUGAGUCGAGUUGUUUGGGAAUGCAGCUCUAAAUGGGAGGUAAAUUUCUUCUAAAGCUAAAUAUUGGCCAGAGACCGAUAGCGCACAAGUAGAGUGAUCGAAAGAUGAAAAGCACUUUGGAAAGAGAGUCAAAAAGCACGUGAAAUUGUUGAAAGGGAAGCGCUUGCAGCCAGACGUGCCCGCAGUUGCUCAUCUGGGGUUUUCCCCAGUGCACUCUUCUGUGGGCAGGCCAGCAUCAGUUCAGGCGGUUGGAGAAAGACCUGUGUCAUGUAGCUCUCUUCGGGGAGUGUUAUAGGGCAGGUGGAAUGCAACCAGCUUGAACUGAGGUCCGCGCAUCUGCUAGGAUGCUGGCGUAAUGGCUGUAAGCGGCCCGUCUUGAAACACGGACCAAGGAGUCUAACAUCUAUGCGAGUGUUUGGGUGUCAAGCCCGAGCGCGUAAUGAAAGUGAACGGAGGUGGGAACCCCUCGGGGUGCACCAUCGACCGAUCCUGAUGUCUUCGGAUGGAUUUGAGUAAGAGCAUAGCUGUUGGGACCCGAAAGAUGGUGAACUAUGCCUGAAUAGGGUGAAGCCAGAGGAAACUCUGGUGGAGGCUCGCAGCGGUUCUGACGUGCAAAUCGAUCGUCAAAUUUGGGCAUAGGGGCGAAAGACUAAUCGAACUAUCUAGUAGCUGGUUCCUGCCGA
rnacentral:rRNA from 1 species